rnacentral:rRNA from 1 species
GAUGAACGCUAGCGGCAGGCUUAAUACAUGCAAGUCGAGGGGUAGCAAGAUUGUAGCAAUACAAUUGUUGACGACCGGCAAACGGGUGCGGAACACGUACACAACCUUCCUACAAGUGGGGAAUAGCCCAGAGAAAUUUGGAUUAAUACCCCGUAACAUAGCGAUGUGGCAUCACAUUGCUAUUAUAGCUUCGGCGCUUGUCGAAGGGUGGGCGGCUGAUUAGAUAGUUGGCGGGGUAACGGCCCACCAAGUCUACGAUCAGUAGCUGAUGUGAGAGAAUGAUAAGCCACACGGGCACUGAGACACGGGCCCGACUCCUACGGGAGGCAGCAGUAAGGAAUAUUGGACAAUGGACGCAAGUCUGAUCCAGCCAUGCCGCGUGAAGGAUUAAGGUCCUCUGGAUUGUAAACUUCUUUUAUAAGGGACGAAAAAAGGUCUUUCUAGAUCGUCUGACGGUACCUUAUGAAUAAGCACCGGCUAACUCCGUGCCAGCCGCCGCCGUAAUAC